UACGUAGGGACCAAGCGUUGUUCGGAUUUACUGGGCGUAAAGGGCGCGUAGGCGGCGUGGUAAGUCACUUGUGAAAUCUCUGAGCUUAACUCAGAACUGCCAAGUGAUACUGCUGUGCUAGAGUGCAGAAGGGGCAAUCGGAAUUCUUGGUGUAGCGGUGAAAUGCGUAGAUAUCAAGAGGAACACCUGAGGUGAAGACGGGUUGCUGGGCUGACACUGACGCUGAGGCGCGAAAGCUAGGGGAGCAAACGGG
rnacentral:ncRNA from 2 species